rnacentral:lncRNA from 10 species
AGCAGAUAAGAAAAGAAACUUAAGCCGCUGAAACUCCCUCCACUUGUGAGAUCAAGAAAAACCUGGCUGAAACUGGUUGGAACCAAGAUGGCUAACUGGAGCUUGCACAGAAUAAGCUUGCUGAUGUCAUAGCCUGAAUUUCCACCACGUUUCAUACUAACUCUCCCUGAAUUUGCCAUGCAACUCAGGAGUUAACAUGAAGAAAUAACUAUGCAUGCCCAAGGACUUUCCAGACCUCCCUUUUCCUUGCACAAAUCACCUACUAAUCUCAGAAUCCACCCCCUGAACCUUUUCUAAUAAAAGUACUGCCUUAAUGCCAGCAGAAAGAGACAAAUUUGAGCUUGACUCCUGUCUCCUUCAGAGGUGACUUUUAAUAUAAAGCUUUUCUUUUUUUCAAAAAUUUGGUGUCAGUGUUGGCUUCUAGCACAUUGGGCAGUGAGCCCCUUUUGCUUGUUAACAAACUAGAACCCCAGGUGAGACGAACAGCCUGUCCAAGGUACUGUUGCCCCUAGUGGUGUGCAGGCCCCCUGCACUGAUCCUGAGUGGCCACCUAGACCAGGGUGUCCAGAGGCUCGACUAUAGGGUUCCUUCUUCUCCACCAUGGCACUUCAGGCUCCCUUGGCACUUCUCUUUUGGGAAAAUAAAUUGCUUCUGGAUUAGACAUCUUUCUGCAAUAUUUGGCUUAACAGAGGUCAAAGACUGUGAUGGCUACAGCAGAAGCCUUAUGAGAUCUCCAGACUCCUGCACACUCAAUUAGAACAAAGCAACUCCAUAAACUAGAAAACCUGAAGAAAAAUGGCACAUGUAAAACAUUUUCAGUCAAUCCCUCUUUCUUCUUCUGUCCUUAAAGAGUUACCAUGUAGUCUUCUAAGUUCUUUGCCUAUUUUUCCUUCCUGACUACUCUGAAUCUGCUGACUUUUCUGCUGGUGUUGAAAUAAAACUUACUGUUCAUGGUAUUACUAGUUUCAGGUUACUGGCUAAAGAAAAAAAAGGAAAGAGGUCUUUUAAAAUCAAAGUGCCCUGGAAACUGCUUUGCUCAUCAGGGCAAAUAAAAUUUAGCCAUGUGAACAGAUUCCAGUUUUAUCAGGAAAAUAAGUUUGAUCCAACUGUCUUGUUUAUGCAUAUACAUGCAUUAUGUUAUAUGUUGUGUCUAUAUGGUACCAAAUUAGCUUAUAAAUAAAAGAGUACUGAUAAAUUAAAUAAAUAAGUCCAAAUGCUUUCAAGUUCAUUUGACUUUAAUAAUCUUUGGAAAAUUAAAAAAAAAUUAUUGAUAAAAUAAAAAUAGAUAUGUCUUCAGGAUUGUCAGCAUGUAUUUUUGCCUGUGUUUACUGGUCAGCUGAUAUGUGCAUCUGAUAGUUAUUUUAAGAUGUCCAGGUUUGGCAAAAAGUUAUGAAAUUACAAACCCGGCCAAAACAGAAUAAUCUUUGUUUAUGUGAUUCUUUUGAUAAAUAAGACUAAUUUAAUAUUGUUGGUUUAAUGAAAACAAUGAAAUCCUCUGAUUUAUCAGCAAAAUAUCUGUGUAUUUCACUUUAAAGUUCUUGCUUAGGUGAACACCUGAUAUUCACAAGCUGUAAAAUGGUUAACAAGGAAAUAACUUAAAAUGGUGACUAGCUUUGUCUAAUAUCUCUAUUCUCAUAACUAAUCUAGAUAAACUGUUAAAAACAAAUAAAUUAGAUAAAUGUAAAUGGGACAAAUGUGUGUAAAUGAAAUUCUUAUGUUUUUCAAAAUCUUAAAGUUAUGAUACUUACUAUCAUACUUUACUUACUGAGCAGCUGGGUCACUUCCAAUUAAGAAAUGUAUAAGGAAAUGUUUCUAAAGAUUAAAACAUGGUUUUAAAAUACAUGAAAUACUUAUAAUAUUUUAUCUUAAAAUACUGAUAUAUUGCAGACAAUUCAAGAUUUCUUACUUCCUAGGUUCUUCCCUAAAAUCCCUAAAAUAAGGAUUACUAAGAGUUAAUAUUGUAACUUAUAUAAGUAAUUGAAACUACUAGAUACAAGAGAAACAAUUCUAUUUGCAGAAUGUAUACGAAAAAUAGGAUGUGUUUUUGGUAAACACACAAGAAGACAGGAAUAUGGUUUUCGUUUAAGGGCAAGUAAUUUUGCCUAGUUUAGAGGUUCUAAAGGAUUGUUUUAAAUUGAAGGAAUUAAAAAAGUGUA